AGAGUUUGAUCAUGGCUCAGAACGAACGCUGGCGGCAGGCCUAAUACAUGCAAGUCGAGCGCGCCCUUCGGGGUGAGCGGCGGACGGGUGAGUAACGCGUGGGAAUAUGCCCUUCUCUAAGGAAUAGCCUCUGGAAACGGAGAGUAAUACCUUAUACGCCCUUUUGGGGAAAGAUUUAUCGGAGAAGGAUUAGCCCGCGUUAGAUUAGGUAGUUGGUGGGGUAAUGGCCUACCAAGCCUACGAUCUAUAGCUGGUUUGAGAGGAUGAUCAGCCACACUGGGACUGAGACACGGCCCAGACUCCUACGGGAGGCAGCAGUAGGGAAUCUUAGACAAUGGGGGCAACCCUGAUCUAGACCAUGCCGCGUGUGUGAUGAAGAGCCCUAGGG
rnacentral:rRNA from 1 species